UCUGGGACAAGCCCUGGAAACGGGGUCUAAUACCGGAUAACACUCGCCGAGGCAUCUCGGUGGGUUGAAAGCUCCGGCGGUGAAGGAUGAGCCCGCGGCCUAUCAGCUUGUUGGUGAGGUAGAAGCUCACCAAGGCGACGACGGGUAGCCGGCCUGAGAGGGCGACCGGCCACACUGGGACUGAGACACGGCCCAGACUCCUACGGGAGGCAGCAGUGGGGAAUAUUGCACAAUGGGCGAAAGCCUGAUGCAGCGACGCCGCGUGAGGGAUGACGGCCUUCGGGUUGUAAACCUCUUUCAGCAGGGAAGAAGCGAAAGUGACGGUACCUGCAGAAGAAGCGCCGGCUAACUACGUGCCAGCAGCCGCGGUAAUACGUAGGGCGCAAGCGUUGUCCGGAAUUAUUGGGCGUAAAGAGCUCGUAGGCGGUCUGUCACGUCGGAUGUGAAAGCCCGGGGCUUAACCCCGGGUCUGCAUUCGAUACGGGCAGACUAGAGUGUGGUAGGGGAGAUCGGAAUUCCUGGUGUAGCGGUGAAAUGCGCAGAUAUCAGGAGGAACACCGGUGGCGAAGGCGGAUCUCUGGGCCAUUACUGACGCUGAGGAGCGAAAGCGUGGGGAGCGAACAGGAUUAGAUACCCUGGUAGUCCACGCCGUAAACGGUGGGAACUAGGUGUUGGCGACAUUCCACGUCGUCGGUGCCGCAGCUAACGCAUUAAGUUCCCCGCCUGG
rnacentral:rRNA from 1 species